rnacentral:rRNA from 1 species
UAUUGGACAAUGGGCGAAAGCCUGAUCCAGCCAUGCCGCGUGUGUGAAGAAGGCCCUCGGGUUGUAAAGCACUUUCAGCGAGGAAGAACGCCUAGUGGUUAAUACCCAUUAGGAAAGACAUCACUCGCAGAAGAAGCACCGGCUAACUCCGUGCCAGCAGCCGCGGUAAUACGGAGGGUGCAAGCGUUAAUCGGAAUUACUGGGCGUAAAGCGCGCGUAGGUGGCUUGAUAAGCCGGUUGUGAAAGCCCCGGGCUCAACCUGGGAACGGCAUCCGGAACUGUCAAGCUAGAGUGCGGGAGAGGAAGGUAGAAUUCCCGGUGUAGCGGUGAAAUGCGUAGAGAUCGGGAGGAAUACCAGUGGCGAAGGCGGCCUUCUGGACUGACACUGACACUGAGGUGCGAAA